UCUAUGGCGAAUUGACGAAUUAGUGUGG
rnacentral:sRNA from 1 species